rnacentral:miRNA from 1 species
UAAAAUAUAGUUAAAGGGUAUAGCCGCCCGGCUGUACUCUUUAAAGAUUAAAAUAAAAUUAAAGAGUAUAGCCGCGCGGCUAUACUCGUUAAAUAUUAAAAU